UUUGGUCACACAACUUCAAAAUAUUAUAAAACAAUCACUAAACUUUUCAAAAAUUUUCAUUUAAAUCACUGGACUGUUUAAUAUGGUCGAACCGUAAAGAAGAAAUCUCAUUUGAGAAAUACAAUCAUCGAUGCGCCACAGUUGUUUACUUUGAACCUUUGCCUAUGUGGCCAUGUUGAAAGCUACCUCUGAUGAUCUUGGUUCAUCAGCACAAUGUGUAAUGGGCCAAAUUUGCCCGACCCAAGAAAACACAAGAAAACCAAAACAAAAUAUAAAAUAAAAUAAACAAAUAAAAAAACCACAGUCCAUUACAGUCCAAUUACAAAAAAAACCAAGCCCAAAUUAAUAUUAAACCUAGACCCAACCCCAAAAGUACACCGGCCCAAAUGGCCCAAAAUUUUUUUAGAACAAACAGAACCCUAGGGUUCUCUCUCUCGCGCCGCAGCCAAACCCCGGCCCUGGCCUCCGUACCCUCCAGCAGCCAUGCAUACGCGUCUCCGUACUCUAGCCUAGACC
rnacentral:lncRNA from 1 species